UUUGAUCCUGGCUCAGGAUGAACGCUGGCGGCGUGCUUAACACAUGCAAGUCGAGCGCGGUCCCUUUGGUGCUUGCACCAAAGAAGACUGAGCGGCGGACGGGUGAGUAACGCGUGGGUAACCUGCCCUAUACACAUGGAUAACAUGCUGAAAAGCAUACUAAUACAUGAUAACGUACACUGAUGGCAUCUUCGGUGUAUCAAAGCGUUAGCGGUAUAGGAUGGACCCGCGUCUGAUUAGCUAGUUGGUGGGGUAAAAGCCUACCAAGGCCACGAUCAGUAGCCGACCUGAGAGGGUGAUCGGCCACAUUGGAACUGAGACACGGUCCAAACUCCUACGGGAGGCAGCAGUGGGGAAUAUUGCACAAUGGGCGAAAGCCUGAUGCAGCAACGCCGCGUGAACGAUGAAGGUCUUCGGAUCGUAAAGUUCUGUCGCAGGGGAAGAUAAUGACGGUACCCUGUGAGGAAGCACCGGCUAACUACGUG
rnacentral:rRNA from 1 species